AUUGAACGCUGGCGGCAUGCCUUACACAUGCAAGUCGAACGGCAGCAUGAUCUAGCUUGCUAGAUUGAUGGCCAGUGGCGAACGGGUGAGUAAUACAUCGGAACGUGCCCUGUAGUGGGGGAUAACUAGUCGAAAGAUUAGCUAAUACCGCAUACGACCUGAGGGUGAAAGUGGGGGACCGCAAGGCCUCAUGCUAUAGGAGCGGCCGAUGUCUGAUUAGCUAGUUGGUGAGGUAAAGGCUCACCAAGGCGACGAUCAGUAGCUGGUCUGAGAGGACGAUCAGCCACACUGGGACUGAGACACGGCCCAGACUCCUACGGGAGGCAGCAGUGGGGAAUUUUGGACAAUGGGCGAAAGCCUGAUCCAGCAAUGCCGCGUGUGUGAAGAAGGCCUUCGGGUUGUAAAGCACUUUUGUCCGGAAAGAAAUGGCUCUGGUUAAUACCUGGGGUCGAUGACGGUACCGGAAGAAUAAGGACCGGCUAACUACGUG
rnacentral:rRNA from 1 species